rnacentral:Y_RNA from 1 species
AUGGCGAAUGCCUGACGGACUACAUGGACUCGGUAUCCCCAGGUCGCGGGUUCGAAUCCCGCCGGGCCGGCCAAUCGGCCCGUAGCUCAGCGGAUAGAGCGGGUAGGCGUCCGUCGAAAUCCUCGUCGCCAUGAU